rnacentral:rRNA from 1 species
GACGAACGCUGGCGGCGUGCCUAAUACAUGCAAGUAGAACGCACAGUUUAGACCGUAGCUUGCUACACCAUAGACUGUGAGUUGCGAACGGGUGAGUAACGCGUAGGUAACCUGCCUGGUAGCGGGGGAUAACUAUUGGAAACGAUAGCUAAUACCGCAUAAUAUUAAUUAUUGCAUGAUAAUUAAUUGAAAGGUGCAAUUGCACCACUACCAGAUGGACCUGCGUUGUAUUAGCUAGUAGGUGAGGUAACGGCUCACCUAGGCGACGAUACAUAGCCGACCUGAGAGGGUGAUCGGCCCCACUGGGACUGAGACACGGCCCAGACUCCUACGGGAGGCAGCAGUAGGGAGUCUUCGGCAAAGGACGAAAGUCUGACCGAGCGACGCCGCGUGAGUGAAGAAGGUUUUCGGAUCGUAAAGCUCUGUUGUAAGAGAAGAACGGGUGUGAGAGUGGAAAGUUCACGCUGUGACGGUAUCUUACCAGAACGGGACGGCUAACUACGUG